GAUGAACGCUGGCGGCGUGCCUAAUACAUGCAAGUCGAGCGAACAGAUGAGGAGCUUGCUCCUCUGACGUUAGCGGCGGACGGGUGAGUAACACGUGGAUAACCUACCUAUAAGACUGGGAUAACUUCGGGAAACCGGAGCUAAUACCGGAUAAUAUAUUGAACCGCAUGGUUCAAUAGUGAAAGACGGUUUUGCUGUCACUUAUAGAUGGAUCCGCGCCGCAUUAGCUAGUUGGUAAGGUAACGGCUUACCAAGGCAACGAUGCGUAGCCGACCUGAGAGGCUGAUCGCCCACACUGGAACUGAGCCACGGUCCAGACUCCUACGGGAGGCAGCAGCAGGGAAUCUUCCGCAAUGGGCGAAAGCCUGACGGAGCAACGCCGCGUGAGUGAUGAAGGUCUUCGGAUCGUAAAACUCUGUUAUUAGGGAAGAACAAAUGUGUAAGUAACUAUGCACGUCUUGACGGUACCUAAUCAGAAAGCCACGGCUAACUACGUG
rnacentral:rRNA from 1 species